UCAUCUCAUCUGACCUCCUGUAGAACAGAAGCCAGAGAAGCAGAUCUUUUAGAAAAACAUCCCAAACCAUGAUGCAACAGGAGAGCUCUCCGUUCCUGGCCUGAUCCUAGAAUCAGCCAUGCUAUUACAGAAGUAUUCAGGCAGGAGACUUGGGCAGAUCGCAGCUCCAGUGGAACAGAAAGGACGUACCAGAGUGACAACCAUGCCUCCCAGUCUGGAGUUUCCUAGCUGCUCUGCGUCCACCAGCUCCCACGGCUCCCUGCUCAGCUCCUUUGGGAAUUUCGUGCCGGACUGACAGCAGCAUGACAUCCUCCGUCUAGCCACCGGGCUGGGAAACGGCACAGCAAGCGUCCUGGCCAACAUGUCCCCUGGACGGACACCUGCUGGGAGGGUGGGGAGGCGGGAGGGCAGUUUCCACAGCCUGUCCAGUCCUUGGCCCUGGAGCUGAGCCUGUCCGUGAAGGGAGCCAAUCCGUGCUGACGGUAAGGUCAGGGAGCGGGGUGAAGUGCAGCCCCCUCCUCCAAGCACUGGGCAGGGACCACCAACCUUUUCCGCAGAAGUGACGACUCGUCCAUCGAAUGACAAAGCGGUUUCCUCAGCCCUAGCCUGGGCUCAGGGCUAUCUAUACCGAAAAGCAGCCCCUGAGCUGGGAUCCUACAACCCAAGCUCCAGCCCGAGCCUGGACGUCUACACAGCCACACAGCCAAGCCCUAUGAGCCCCGGUCGGCUGGCCCAGACCAGCCACAGGGUCUAGCUGCUGUGUAGACAGACCCUGUGUGAUUUGUU